rnacentral:rRNA from 1 species
UAGGGAAUCUUCGGCAAUGGACGGAAGUCUGACCGAGCAACGCCGCGUGAGUGAAGAAGGUUUUCGGAUCGUAAAGCUCUGUUGUUAGAGAAGAACGUUGGUAGGAGUGGAAAAUCUACCAAGUGACGGUAACUAACCAGAAAGGGACGGCUAACUACGUGCCAGCAGCCGCGGUAAUACGUAGGUCCCGAGCGUUGUCCGGAUUUAUUGGGCGUAAAGCGAGCGCAGGCGGUUCUUUAAGUCUGAAGUUAAAGGCAGUGGCUUAACCAUUGUACGCUUUUGGAACUGGAGGACUUGAGUGCAGAAGGGGAGAGUGGAAUUCCAUGUGUAACGGUGAAAUGCGUAGAUAUAUGGAGGAACACCGGUGGCGAAAGCGGCUCUCUGGUCUGUAACUGACGCUGAGGCUCGAAAGCGUGGGGAGCAAACAGG